rnacentral:rRNA from 1 species
CGCGUAGGUGGUUUGAUAAGGGUGUGGUGAAAGCCCGGGGCUCAACCCCGGGUCUGCCGUGCCGACUGUCAAACUCGAGGGCUGUAGAGGCAGACGGAAUUCCGGGUGUAGCGGUGGAAUGCGUAGAGAUCCGGAGGAAGACCGGUGGCGAAGGCGGUCUGCUGGGCAGUUUCUGACACUGAUGCGCGACAGCGUGGGGAGCAGACA